AUUGAACGCUGGCGGCAGGCCUAACACAUGCAAGUCGAGCGGAGCGGCGGACGGGCGCGUGAUGACUAGGUAUCUGCCUGGUCGUGGGGGAUAACGUACGGAAAGGGGCGCUAAUUCCGCAUACUCUCAGAUGAGCCUAGGUCGGAUUAGCUAGUUGGUGGGGUAACGGCCUACCAAGGCGACGAUCCGUAACUGGUCUGAGAGGAUGAUCAGUCACACUGGAACUGAGACACGGUCCAGACUCCUACGGGAGGCAGCAGUGGGGAAUAUUGGACAAUGGGCGAAAGCCUGAUCCAGCCAUGCCGCGUGUGUGAAGAAGGUCUUAGGAUUGUAAAGCACUUUAAGUUGGGAGGCGUUACCAACAGAAUAAGCACCGGCUAACUUCGUGCCAGCAGCCGCGGUAAUAC
rnacentral:rRNA from 1 species